rnacentral:rRNA from 1 species
UAGCGAAGGGGGCUAGCGUUGCUCGGAAUCACUGGGCGUAAAGCGCACGUAGGCGGCUUCUUAAGUCAGGGGUGAAAUCCUGGAGCUCAACUCCAGAACUGCCUUUGAUACUGAGGAGCUUGAGUCCGGGAGAGGUGAGUGGAACUGCGAGUGUAGAGGUGAAAUUCGUAGAUAUUCGCAAGAACACCAGUGGCGAAGGCGGCUCACUGGCCCGGUACUGACGCUGAGGUGCGAAAGCGUGGGGGAGCAAACAGG